rnacentral:lncRNA from 1 species
ACAUUAAAACCGUAUCCACAAAAAGAUCUUACAAUUUAACAUACAUAAAAAAUGUGAGUAGGCGAGAGAAUAUAACUUUGGUCUAUAAAUAGACAGAAUACCAUCAUCAGUAACUAUAGACUAAUCAUUUUUUGCUUUCCUAUGUUGUUUAUGUUGUUCCUUGACCCGGUAGACUCUUUAUUGUUUUACUGUUUGUUCCUUGACCCAUUUUUUCACCUGGUGCCAAACUCUUAUCAACUUCACUAUCAUCUCUUAAACACUUAACAUUAUAUAUCCAACUAUUUCCUUGACUUGUUUCUUCAUCAUCCUCCGUCCAAACAGCAUCAUCAUCAUUUAAACACUUAUCAUCAUCCAUAAAACUAACAUAAUCCGCAUACAUUGGUUGAACAACAACUAUCCAAUCCAUCCAAGU